UCCCUGGGGCUGCGGGCACCCCUCCUCGCCCAUGCCGGGCAGGGCUCGCCCCACGCCCGGCAGGGCAGUCGGACCCCCGGGCCGCCCCGCCGGCGGGGCCCGCACGCCCCGCUCGCCUCACCCGCCCGGCCGAGCCGCGGCCCAGACGCACCUGCGGGACCGCUGGGGUGGGGAAGGGGCGCCGCCAGCGCUGUGCUCCGGCGGGGGGUCCCCGUGCCCAGGCCCCCCGCCAGCCCCCUCUGCCGGGCCGGGCAUGGGCUCAGGCCGCGGGGCCGGGGGGCGGCGGGGCCGGAGCCGGAGCCGGAGGCAGCGGCGCCCGCUCCCGGCCGGGCGCCGAGCGGGGCCUGGCGGCCGUGCUCCAUCCCCAGCGGGCAGGCCGAGCCCCUCACUCCCUCAGGAUCCACCGGGAGGCACAAGCAGCCUGGCAACGGCUCGCCCGGGGCUGGGGAGGGGGAGUGUGUAACACACAGGUGUUUCCCGAGGUUUCCCUGAACGGACCUCUGCGAAAAUCCACGUCGCAGGAGCAAGAGGUGCUCCCACACUCCCCUUUGCAGCUUUGGUUUGGUUUAAAAAUAACCAGAACAAAGCAAAAAACAAACAAACAAAAAACCCAAACAAACAAAAAGCCCAAAUGGCAUUAGUUCUUGCAAGCUCCAUGACCACGUUUAAAGACAAAUGUCACUGACAUUCAUAUUUGUAACUCCAUCGAAACCCCACCAAUUACAGGACUGGAAAUCUCCCAAGCACGGCAAUAGCCCCAGAUAAGGUUCAGAAACAAUCUGAAUGUCUAGAACUUGAGCAGAUGUGAAGAAAUGAGACCCUUCUUCUCCAGCGCCCCUGCACAGGAUCGUCUCAGAGUCAAGCAUGCAAGCCAGAAGGCAACAUCUUUCCUUCCAUGAAGACUACUGGCAUAUAACUGCACUAUUUUAGUUCUGCAUUAUGGCUGGAGAUGUUUUCAGACUUUUCUCUUUAUUGAACGAUGAAACGCUUCAUUCAAUUCAGGAAAAUGACCGAUCUUGGCGAUUGCUUACAGCACAGAGAGCAAGCAGCCACUCAUCCUUUUUUUUUCCCCUGCAACUCUGCUGCUCGUCCAGCAGGGGGAGAUGCAGGAACAAGGAGCCAGUUUCUCUCAACGUCUAAAGAAAAAGACCUGGGAUCAUUUGUCAGGACAGUUCUCCUUUGUCUAAGCUACUGUACAACAGGUCAAAUACAAGACAUUUAUGAGACACUUAUUUACUAUCUUAGUUUAGUCUUCGUUUUGCAGAGGAGUGAAAGGUCUAUCAAGUAAUUAGACAGUGUUUUCCAGGCCCUGGUAUUGAGUGCUCAUCAAUAGUAAAUCUUCUGAGUUUCAGCUGUCAGUCAUUAAUAACUGAGUGCAUGUUUGAGCUGUGCAAAUCCAGGUAAAAGAGACAUAAAUGUGGUUGAAAGAGAAAGUAUAGAUUUGUUUAGCUUUUUAUUACUUAGUGCAGUAUUUUUAAGCAAACAGACUAGUGCAACUAAGCAAAGGAAACUGAAAUGGCAGCCUAAAUUAAUUGACUAUGCAUGAUAAUAGCUAUUUAACUAUGGAUAAAAGGAAGUUUAGCUAUCUAUUCAGCAUGUAAUUUUUCCUGUACCUUACCAGUGUGUUGGUCUGUUUCAUUACUAAAAUGUAUUCUUCAUGCUGUUGUA